rnacentral:rRNA from 1 species
AUGGCGAUGAGGAAGGAGGUCCUCCUGGCGGCCAUGAUGCUGGCGCUGCUGGUGGCGGCGCCGGGCGGGGCGCUUGCGGCGUGCGAGGUGGGGCAGCUGACGGUGUGCAUGCCGGCGAUCACCACCGGCGCCAAGCCGAGCGGCGCAUGCUGCGCCAACCUGCGAGCGCAGCAGGCGUGCUUCUGCCAGUACGCCAAGGACCCCUCCCUCGGCGCCUACAUCAGGAGCCCCCACGCGCGCGACACCCUCGUCUCCUGCAGCCUCGCCGUCCCCCACUGCUAG